AUGGCCAUGGAGGCGGCUCUUGUCAGCGUGGCGACAGGGGUCGUCAAACCUGUCGUGGAGAAGCUGGCUGUUCUGCUCGGCAACGAGUACAAGAGGUUCAAGGGUGUGCGCAAGGGGAUCAGGUCCCUUACUCAUGAGCUCUGCGCCAUGGAGGCUUUUCUCCUCAACAUGUCUGAGGUGGAGGAUCCUGAUCCGCAGGAUAAGGUGUGGAUGAAUGAGGUGCGGGAGCUGUCCUAUGACCUGGAGGAUGCCAUCGACGACUUCAUGCAGAGCAUCGGUGAUAAAGACGAAAAGCCAGAUGGCUUCAUCGAGAAGAUCAAGAACUCAAUAGGGAAGUUGGGGAAGAUGAAAGCUCGCCGUCGGAUUGGCAAGGAGAUCCAAGAUCUGAAGAAACAAAUCAAAGAGGUGGGUGAGAGGAAUGCAAGGUACAAGAGUCGUGAGACCUUCUCCAAGACCGCUAAUGCGACCGUUGACCCUAGAGCUCUUGCUAUAUUUGAGCAUGCAUCGAAGCUUGUUGGAAUCGAUGAACCCAAGGCUGAGAUAAUCAAGCUGCUAAGAGAAGAGGAUGUUCGUGCUUCAGAGCAACAACAACAACUGAAGAUUGUCUCCAUUGUUGGAUCUGGAGGUAUGGGCAAGACAACUCUUGCAAACCAAGUGUAUCAAGAGCUCAAAGGACAAUACGAGUGUUGGGCUUUCGUCUCAGUUUCACGAAAUCCAGACAUGACCAAUAUCUUGAGAACCAUUCUAAGUGAAGUGGCGAAGAAAGACUAUGCUACCACUGAAGCUGGGAAUAUACAACAACUCGUCAGCAAGAUCGUAGAUUUUCUAGCAGACAAAAGGUACCUUUUGUCUUUCAUAUUUUUUCAUUUCUACUUGUCAUCUUUGAAUGUAUAA
rnacentral:rRNA from 1 species